rnacentral:rRNA from 1 species
UACAGAGGGUGCGAGCGUUGUCCGGAAUCACUGGGCGUAAAGGGCGCGUAGGCGGCUUGAUAAGCGUGCGGUGAAAGCCCGGGGCUCAACCCCGGGUCGGCCGUGCGAACUGUCGAGCUGGAGCACUGUAGAGGCAGGUGGAAUUCCGGGUGUAGCGGUGGAAUGCGUAGAGAUCCGGAAGAACACCGGUGGCGAAGGCGGUCUGCUGGGCAGUUGCUGACACUGAGGCGCGACAGCGUGGGGAACAAACAGG